UACGAAGGGGGCGAGCGUUGUUCGGAUUUACUGGGCGUAAAGGGCGCGCAGGCGGCAGACCAAGUCAGCUGUGAAAGCCCCGGGCUUAACCUGGGAAUGGCGGUUGAAACUACAGGACUAGAAUCUGGCAGAGGGGGGUGGAAUUCCACGUGUAGCAGUGAAAUGCGUAGAGAUGUGGAGGAACACCGAUGGCGAAGGCAGCCCCCUGGGCUGAGAUUGACGCUCAGGCACGAAAGCGUGGGGAGCAAACAGG
rnacentral:rRNA from 1 species